AUUGUCAUUUAUGGUCCGAAUCAUGAAAAAAGUACAAAGACACCGCUAAAACUGUGUAUGAAAACUUACCAUUGAUAUACAGUUAUCUUAGUGACGGGAAUGUAAAGACAUCACGUGAGAGAUUUAAGAUGCGCGACACGCCUUCUGCAACACAAAAAUCAUUCCUAUCUCACUUCAGCAGAUAAAGCUGUACGUCGCUAUUUUACUAAUGAUUACACAUAAAGAGAGUUAGUGAAACUGAAAAUAAUAGAAGUACUGUCAUCAAAGCAAAUGGGAGGAUUUCGUUUCUCUCACACUCCCGCUAGUCGUCACUGCUGGUUUAAAGAGAGCAGCAACUUUGAUUGACGUGUGAGACACACCCAAGUCUAGCGUCGACGUCGUGACUGACGUGUAUUACGUUUGACAACAAAAAAAUCAAGAGAACAAGGGGCCUGCUAAUUGAAAAAUUAAGAUGUGGGAAUGUUUGUGGGAGUGGACCGUGCCAGAUGCCUUCUUCAACGAACAGAGGGCCUGUUAAUGGAAAAAAUAUGAAUGCGUGAUAGACUGGAUCAGAUGCCUUUUCAAAAGCAAGUUUUGAGUUAACUCGUCCUUUGCUGAAAAAUGUCACAUUACCCAAGUAUACAGGAGUGAAGCUUUUGCCAUCGUAUAAUUUUCCCAUAAAAUGGGAACAUUUAAGUGUGGAAUUGUGUGUCAAUGAAUGGCCCCGUUAAUAGUGAUAUCACUUCCCGGAACAAAAGGAUGGAAGGCUGAAUGAGAAUAGAGGAGUGGAGGUGAGUCCAUGGAGCGUGUACCGUCAGCCAUUUCCGUCUCCUCCUUACGGGUCAUGCACCAG
ensembl:lncRNA